CGUAAACAAAGGGAAGCGAGACCGGGAGGUUAAGCAAAUCCCAAAAAUAACGUCUCAGUUCGGAUUGUAGUCUGCAACUCGACUACAUGAAGCUGGAAUCGCUAGUAAUCGCAGAUCAGAGUGCUGCGGUGAAUACGUUCCCGGGUCUUGUACACACCGCCCGUCACACCAUGGGAGUCAGUAACGCCCGAAGCCGGUGACCCAACCGACAAGGAGGGAGCCGUCGAAGGUGGGACCGAUAACUGGGGUGAAGUCGUAACAAGGUAGC
rnacentral:rRNA from 1 species